rnacentral:lncRNA from 1 species
AUGUUAUAGGGCCAGGUGAUAUAGGAGUAGGAUGCUAUAGGGCCAGGUGUUAUAGGAGUAGGAUGCUAUAGGGCCAGGUGUUAUAGGAGUAGGAUGUUAUAGGGCCAGGUGUUAUAGGAGUAGGAUGUUAUAGGGCCAGCUGUUAUAGGAGUAGGGUGUUAUAGGAGUAGGAUGUUAUAGGGCCAGGUGUUAUAGGGCCAGGUGUUAUAGGAGUAGGAUGUUAUAGGGCCAGGUGUUAUAGGAGUAGGAUGUUAUAGGCCAGGCGUUAUAGGGCCAGGUUUUAUAGGAGUAGGAUGUUAUAGGGCCAGGUUUUAUAGGAGUAGGAUGUUAUAGGAGUAGGAUGUUCUAGGAGAAGGAUGUUCUAGGGCCAGGUGUUAUAGGAGUAGGAUGUUAUAGCAGUAUGAUGUUAUAGGAGUAGGAUGUUAUAGGACCAGGUGUUAUAGGAGUAGGAUGUUAUAGGAGAAGGAUGUUAUAGGGCCAUGUGUUAUAGGAGUAGGAUGUUAUAGCAGUAUGAUGUUAUAGGAGUAGGAUGUUAUAGGGCCAGGUGUUAUAGGAGUAGGAUGUUAUAGCAGUAUGAUGUUAUAGGAGUAGGAUGUUAUAGGAGUAGGAUGUUAUAGGGCCAGGUGUUAUAGGAGUAGGAUGUUAUAGGCCAGGUGUUAUAGGGCCAGGUGUUAUAGGGCCAGGUGUUAUAGGAGUAGGAUGUUAUAGGGCCAGGUGUUAUAGGAGUAGGAUGUUAUAGGAGAAGGAUGUUCUAGGAGAAGGAUGUUCUAGGGCCAGAUGUUAUAGGAGUAGGAUGUUAUAGGGCCAGGUGUUAUAGGAGUAAGAUGUUAUAGGCCAGGUGUUAUAGGGCCAUGUGUUAUAGGAGUAGGAUGUUAUAGGGCCAGGUGAUAUAGGAGUAGGAUGCUAUAGGGCCAGGUGUUAUAGGAGUAGGAUGCUAUAGGGCCAGGUGUUAUAGGGCCAGGUGUUAUAGGAGUAGGAUGUUAUAGGGCCAGGUGAAAUCGGAGUAGGAUGUUAUAGGGCCAGGUGUUAUUGGAGUAGGAUGUUAUAGGGCCAGGUGUUAUAGGAGUAGGAUGUUAUAAGGCCAGGUGUUAUUGGAGUAGGAUGUUAUAGGAGUAGGAUGUUAUCGGAGUAGUAUAUAAUAGGGCCAGGUGUUAUAUGAGUGAGAUGUUAUAGGGCCAGGUGUUAUAGGGCCAGGUGUUAUAGGAGUAGGAUGUUAUAGGGCCAUGUUUAAUAGCAGUAGGAUGUUAUAGGGCCAGGUAAUAUAGGAGUAGGAUGUUAUAGGGCCAGGUGUAUAGGAGUAGGAUGCUAUAGGGCCAGGUGUUAUAGGAGUAGGAUGCUAUAGGGCCAGGUGUUAUAGGGCCAGGUAUUAUAGGAGUAGGAUGUUAUAGGGCCAUGUGUUAUAGGAGUAGGAUGUUAUAGGGCCAGGUGUUAUUGGAGUAGGAUGUUAUAGGGCCAGGUGUUAUUGGAGUAGGAUGUUAUAGGAGUAGGAUGUUAUCUGAGUAGUAUAUUAUAGGGCCAGGUGUUAUAUGAGUGAGAUGUUAUAGGGCCAGGUGUUAUAGGGCCAGGUGUUAUAGGAGUAGGAUGUUAUAGGGCCAUGUUUAAUAGCAGUAGGAUGUUAUAGGGCCAGGUGUUAUAGGAGUAAGAUCUUAUAGCAGUAUGAUGUUAUAGGAGUAGGAUGUUAUAGGACCAGGUGUUAAAGGAGUAGGAUGUUAUAGGGCCAGGUGUUAUAGGAGUAAUAUGUUAUUGGGCCAGGUGCUUUAGGAGUAGGACGUUAUAGGGCCAGGUGUUAUAGGGCCAGGUGUUAUAAAAGUAGGAUGUUAUAGGGCCAGGUGUUAUAGUAGUAGGACGUUAUAGGGCCAGGUUUUAUAGGGCCAGGUGUUAUAGGAAUAGGGUGUUAUAGGGCCAGGUGUUAUAGGAGUAGGAUGUUAUAGGGCCACGUGUUAUAGGGGUUGGAUGUUAUAGGGCCAG